GACGAACGCUGGCGGCGUGCCUAACACAUGCAAGUCGAACGGAAAGGCCCUGCUUUUGUUGGGUGCUCGAGUGGCGAAAGGGUGAGUAACACGUGAGUAAACUGCCCUUGUAUUUGGGGUAACUUUAGGAAACUGGGGCUCAUACCCGAUAGGAGCUCCUGCAGCACGGUGGGGGUUGGAAAGUUUCGGCGGUUGGGGAUGGACUCGCGGCUUAUCAGCUUGUUGGUGGGGUAGUGGCUUACCAAGGCUUUGACGGGUAGCCGGCCUGAGAGGGUGACCGGCCACAUUGGGACUGAGAUACGGCCCAGACUCCUACGGGAGGCAGCAGUGGGGAAUAUUGCACAAUGGGCGGAAGCCUGAUGCAGCAACGCCGCGUGCGGGAUGACGGCCUUCGGGUUGUAAACCGCUUUCGCCUGUGACGAAGCGUGAGUGACGGUAAUGGGUAAAGAAGCACCGGCUAACUACGUG
rnacentral:rRNA from 1 species